rnacentral:rRNA from 1 species
UACAGAGGGUGCGAGCGUUAAUCGGAAUUACUGGGCGUAAAGCGUGCGCAGACGGUCAUGUAAGUCGGGUGUGAAAGCCCCGGGCUCAACCUGGGAAUUGCAUUCGAGACUGCAUGGCUAGGGUGCGGAAGAGGGAAGCGGAAUUUCCGGUGUAGCGGUGAAAUGCGUAGAUAUCGGAAGGAACACCAGUGGCGAAGGCGGCUUCCUGGCCUGUUCUUGACGCUGAGGCGCGAAAGCUAGGGGAGCAAACGGG